GCGGCGCUGGAAGGCGCGGGCGAUGAAGUCGUCGUCGGCACCGACGAAGUGGAGCACCUCCACGACCUCGCGGUUCCCCGCCAUGGCGCCCCGC
rnacentral:tRNA from 1 species